UCUUAUCACUAGCUUAUUUAAUUCUCACACAACCACAUUUUAAAGAUGAAGAAACUGAAGCACAAAGAAGUUUAUGGAAUGUGCUGAAGGUUACAUCAGGAAGUGGUGCAACCAGGACUCAAACACAGAGACAGGGUGUCAUUCUCUCACCCUGGCAGGAGUGCAGAGUGCCAUCAUAGCUCCCCGCAACCUUGAACUCCUAGGCUCAAGUGGUCCUCCCACCUCAGCCUCCCAAAAUGCUAGGAUUACAGGUCCAGUUAUACUUUCGGGUCAUUACCUUCCUCCAUCGUCAUGGUCUUGAGUUCAUGUGAUGUAUCCAGGACUAAGAGACCCCAGAGACUGGCAGGUGCCUCCAGAAAGAUGAACAUCUAGUCAGAUGAGAAGGUAAAUGAGGAGAGAGGAGGACAUGGCAGCACAGAAGGAGGAACACAGGGAGAAACUGGAGAGGUACCCUCAGUGAAAGAGAAAAGCCCUUUCUGUGAGAGAAGAAACCAAAAUCUGUGGACACGUAAGGAGAAAGAGCAAACCCGCUAUAGACAGAGAAAUUUCUAUUUAGUAGUGACAUACUUGGAAGCAGUUUGAAAUGGAGAGUUCAUGUUUGAAGAGCCUCAAAGAAGUUGUUCUAUUAAAUUCCAUUGACAAUAAAAGUGCAAAAGGGAUCUUGUCAAGUCCCC